rnacentral:rRNA from 1 species
AGCGAACGCUGGCGGCAUGCCUAACACAUGCAAGUCGAGCGCUCCCAGCAAUGGGGGAGCGGCGGACGGGUGAGUAACGCGUAGGAACGUAUCCUGAGGUGGGGGAUAACCCUGGGAAACUAGGGCUAAUACCGCAUGAUGGCGAGAGCCCAAAGAUUUAUCGCCUUGGGAGCGGCCUGCGUCUGAUUAGCUUGUUGGUGGGGUAAAGGCCUACCAAGGCGACGAUCUUUAGCUGGUCUGAGAGGAUGAUCAGCCACACUGGGACUGAGACACGGCCCAGACUCCUACGGGAGGCAGCAGUGGGGAAUAUUGGACAAUGGGCGAAAGCCUGAUCCAGCAAUGCCGCGUGAGUGAUGAAGGCCUUAGGGUUGUAAAGCUCUGUCAGGCGGGAAGAAAUUCCCUUGGGUAAAUAUCCUGGGGGAUUGACGGUACCGCCGAAGGAAGCACCGGCUAACUCCGUG